rnacentral:rRNA from 1 species
GCUUAUGGCCAUACCACCUUGUCUGCGCUCGAUCUCGUCUGAGCUCGGAAGCUAAGCAGGCUCGGGUCUGAUUAGUACUGGGAUAGGAGACCGUCUGGGAAUACCAGGUGCUGUAAGAU